rnacentral:rRNA from 1 species
GUCAGGGACAAUACCAGCUGGUCAAAGCCUGAUCUCGUCAGAUCUCAGAAGAUAAGCAAGGCUGGGCCUGGUUAGUACCUGGAUGGAGACUGCUGAGAAUACCAGGUGCUACAAAAC